GACGAACGCUGGCGGCGUGCUUAACACAUGCAAGUCGAACGGAAAGGCCCUGCUUUUGCGGGGUGCUCGAGUGGCGAACGGGUGAGUAACACGUGAGUAACCUGCCCUUGACUUUGGGAUAACUUCAGGAAACUGGGGCUAAUACCGGAUAGGAGCUCCUGCUGCAUGGUGGGGGUUGGAAAGUUUCGGCGGUUGGGGAUGGACUCGCGGCUUAUCAGCUUGUUGGUGGGGUAGUGGCUUACCAAGGCUUUGACGGGUAGCCGGCCUGAGAGGGUGACCGGCCACAUUGGGACUCAGAUACGGCCCAGACUCCUACGGGAGGCAGCAGUGGGGAAUAUUGCACAAUGGGCGGAAGCCUGAUGCAGCAACGCCGCGUGCGGGAUGACGGCCUUCGGGUUGUAAACCGCUUUCGCCUGUGACGAAGCGUGAGUGACAGUAAUGGGUAAAGAAGCACCGGCUAACUACGUG
rnacentral:rRNA from 1 species